ensembl:snRNA U2 U2 spliceosomal RNA
AAACCAUCACUUGUUCUGUAAUGUCUGUUCUUAUCAGUUUAAUAUCGGAUACGCGCUCUGUACGAGGACUACAUAUUAAAUUGGCUUUUGGAACAGGGAGGCGGUAGAGGAGCUUGCUCCGUCCUGGUAUUGCAGUACCUCUAGGAACGGUGCACCUCCU